AGCAGCAUGGCGCAGAUGGAAGCGCGCGGGGCCCAUAUAGCAGCGUAGUCGCUCCGUUAACCCCGAUGUCACUCGAUCGAAACGAGUUGCUGCUG